rnacentral:rRNA from 1 species
AGGGGGAUAACAUCCGGAAACGGGUGCGUAAUACCGCAUAGUUUUCUUGGAUUGACAUGAUUGAGAAAGGAAAGACGGCCUUUGUGCUGUCGCUUAUGGAUGGACCCGCGGCGUAUUAGUUAGUUGGUGAGGUAACGGCUCACCAAGACGAUGAUACGUAGCCGACCUGAGAGGGUGAUCGGCCACAUUGGGACUGAGACACGGCCCAAACUCCUACGGGAGGCAGCAGUAGGGAAUCUUCCGCAAUGGACGAAAGUCUGGACGGAGCAACGCCGCGUGAGUGAAGAAAAGGGUUUUUCGGAUCGUAAAACUCUGUUGUCAGAGAAGAACAAGUUGGAGAGUAACUGCUCCAGCCUUGACGGUAUCUGACCAGAAAGCCACGGCUAACUACGUGCCAGCCGCAGC